AUGCAGGCUUGGACUUGGGCCCACUGCCCCAGGCCGGGGCUUCCAUUGGACUUGGGGUGUGCACUUGUUUAAGGUCUCCCCAAGCAGGAGAGCCUACCUCAAAUUUUGUGGCAGCAGAGGCCUGCCUUUCGAGGCCCUUAA
rnacentral:snRNA from 1 species